AUGCCUNGCUGGCGGCGUGCUUAACACAUGCAAGUCAAGGAGAAACCUGGAGCUUGCUAGAGGGAGUAAACUGGCGAACGGGUGAGUAACACGUAGGCANCCUGCCUUCAGGACCGGGAUAACGAGCCGAAAGGCUGACUAAUACCGGAUGAUGCAGCGGACCCGCAUGGGUAUGUUGUUAAACUGGCCUUUCGGGGUCACACCUGGAGAUGGGCCUGCGUCCCAUUAGCUUGUUGGUGAGGUAACGGCUCACCAAGGCGACGUUGGGUAGCCGACCUGAGAGGGUGGCCCCCCGCACNGGCACUGAAACACGGGCCAGACACCUACGGGUGGCAGCAGUAGGGAAUCUUGCGCAAUGGGCGAAAGCGUGACGCAGCGACACCGCGUGCGVGAUGAAGGGCUUCGGGUUGUAAACCGCAUUUCGGGAGGAUGAGGAAGGACAGUACUCCCGGAAUAAGUCUUNGCUGAACUACGUGCCAGCAGCCGCGGUCCAACACGUAGGAGGCGAGCGUUACCCGGAUUUACUGGGCGUAAGCGCGUGCAGGCGCUUGGUAAGUUGGGCGUGUAAGCUCCCGGCUCAACCGGGAGAGGACGUCCUAGACUGCCACGCUAGAGGACGGGAGAGCCCCGAAGUGGCCU
rnacentral:rRNA from 1 species